rnacentral:lncRNA from 1 species
CUUUUCACAGACACUGCUAGUAGGGCUCCAGGACAUCUGGAGGGCCAGGCUGGGGUGUCUUUUUGGCUUCUGCUUGAAGCUGCUGGUUCCCCUCCAUCAGGAACGCCAGCCCCUGGAGAGGCUGCCAUGAGGAGUUUGAGUUUUAUGCAAUUUCUUGUAUAAAAGGAGAGCCUGAGUCCAUGGAAGUUGGGAUUGAACAUCCUGAAUAUGCAGUUCCUUGGAGAGCCACCAAGAAAAGACCUAAGCAAGAGACAUGAUGUCACCUUCGGGGAGGAGGCUCUUCAGCUGUCUGGCAUGAGAAGAGGAGGAAUGAGGAGGAUCACUGGCCUUGAACCCCCAAAGAGAGGCUAGAGCACCUUUCUAGGACCCAGUCCGGGGUUUGUCUUGAACAUCCAGCUCCAAAAGAGAUGCUGUGCAGAUUCAAGCUGCCAAGUCCUGAAGGACCUGAGGGAAAACCCAACCCCAAGCAGCCCAGAUGGUAUCUGAGUAUCCUGUGCCCUUCCCACGAAGAUCAGGAGCCUAAAGUCUAGAGCUCACUGCAGAACCAGACCAAAGACAGUUUAAGGGCCAUUGAGCCAAGCCUUCCUGACCUCCCAUGGAGAGGGGAAAAGAGAACAGGACCUCCACUUAUCCACCUACCAGCUGCUGAGUCCCUUUAGCCCUUGGCAUGGUAAUUAACGGUCAGGAAGUUAUGCAUCAGCCUCAGCAAGCUAACGUGGCAGGAGAUCCCUCCUGACAGCAGAGCUAAUAAGAAAUUUGCUAAUGC